rnacentral:rRNA from 1 species
GGAGUUAGCCGGUGCUUCUUCUGUGAGUGAUGUCCUUCCUGCCGGUUAUUGACCCGCAGGCCUUCUUCCUCACUGAAAGUGCUUUACAACCCGAAGGCCUUCUUCACACACGCGGCAUGGCUGGAUCAGGGUUGCCCCCAUUGUCCAAUAUUCCCCACUGCUGCCUCCCGUAGGAGUCUGGGCCGUGUCUCAGUCCCAGUGUGGCUGAUCAUCCUCUCAGACCAGCUACGGAUCGUCGCCUUGGUGAGCCGUUACCUCACCAACCAGCUAAUCCGACAUAGGCUCAUCCGAUAGCGCGAGGCCCGAAGGUCCCCCGCUUUCCCCCGUAGGGCGUAUGCGGUAUUAGCCUGGGUUUCCCCAGGUUAUCCCCCACUACCGGGCAGAUUCCUAUGCAUUACUCACCCGUCCGCCGCUCGCCACCAGGGAGCAAGCUCCCCGUGCUGCCGCUCGACUUGCAUGUGUUAGGCCUGCCGCCAGCGUUCAAUCUGAGCAUGANACAACUCUGA